rnacentral:lncRNA from 1 species
UCCGUGUGAACUUCUUUAAAAGAUAGGUUUUCAUAAUCACCAAAAUGUGUCAAGUAACAAAUAAAAUUUAUUUGAAAAAUGUUAUUCUGAACUAAAUAACUAUAAUAAACCCAAUAUCUAAAGGGAUGUGGGGGUGAACGACUAUACUUUAUCAUCGUUCUAGUUGUUCCAAGCCAAACAAAAUAAAAGCAAGCAUAAACAUAAAUACGAAAAUAUGGAAAAUGUUAAUCAAAAAUAGCAACACAUAUAUGUAUAUAUAAACACGUGAAACUUUGAAGUGGGGAGGAAGCGUAGGACACUAUUGACGCGAUGAAGGCCUCUAGACGCGGGCAAAUUAUGUUGUCGCUUCUCUGAUUUGGACAGAGAUGGAGUUAUGUCACAACUCCAAGUGCGCUCCCAAGUGUACAUGUACAAAAAUAUAAGAUAAAAGAAAUUAGCAGAUGAGCUUCAAACUUAUGAAGAACAAAUCAAAAUGAACUUCACAUAGUUGCCUGGUAAAACAAAUUUGAAUCAACUUAAACCAACAAACACAUUAGUAGACGUGAUUUUUACAACUUAAUAUCUUUCUAAGAUUCAUGUGCAGUUAGAUAUGGAGUAUAUGGUUUAGGGGGUAUUUAUUUAUCCUUUGAGCCUAGCAAGAGAAGCGAACAAUUAUAACACAUAUAAUUUCUAAGGAAUAGACACAAUCUGCAUUUAGAACCAAUUUCUAAGAAGUAGAGAAAGGAUAUUAUAAAUAUUUCUGCCGAUUGUUAAGUAGAGCUAGACUAGUCUUAAGCUACCAGAUUCGUAAUAAUAUAAGAUAACAGCUAUGUACAAACUGAAAUCUGCGAUAUUUCAGCCAAGUAAAUGAUGCACAUUUAGACCAAAACAGAGAAGGAGGUAAUCACAUCCAUGAAUUUGUUCAUGUUCUAUCCUAUGUCGAGAUAUCACAAGAAGAGAGACAACAACUAAAACCAACUGGAAACACACCAAAUAGACAAGAAAAAAGAACUACAAGUCUUAUCGACUUCACAUUAUUUCUUGAGCAAAAAUAAAUUUCCCUUCUUCGUUACUAACUUUAGAAAACACUAGUCUCAAACAAAACAAACGCAGAGAAUCGAACAACCGACUUAAUCGUUUAGGAACUAAUGCAUAUUAAGAUCAAUCCGAUAGAUUUAAAGCAAAAUGAUAAUGAAGUGACAUGCUACCAAAAAAAAAAUUGAAAACAGGGGAAAUAUUUUACCAUUCCCAAAACUUGGUUAAUUCAGGGAGAGAGCUUUUAACGUGCUAAUAUUCAUCAAAUCAUGUAAAAAUGUUUAACAUACAGAUAUCUGGGCAGCAAGUAUAUUCCAAACCAUUUAACUUAAAGAUUUUUAGCUAAAGGGUGAACGCGAUCAACUAAAGCUAACAAAAUGGCUCAAUGAGACAGAUUAGGAUGACUCUAAUGGUCUUAACUGUAUGUGUCUAGACAAAUAUAACUUAGGCGAGGCAUGUCCAUGUCAUAAUACUAUCUGGCAGCAAACGACAAAAUAGUACCAACGAUUCCUGGGAAAUGGCACAACCGAACUAAACCUAGACAACCUCUAAUAACAAAAGGGAAACCAAAUGAAUAUAAAUGAAAGAAUCAUUCAUUCUGCAAGACGAUCAUAACAAAUUAACCUCCACUAAUCCAGGUAGCAACUAUUGACCUGUACUCGAAAAUAAGCGUAAGAUCAGUAGAACAAAGAUUUGCCUAACAUAAUGAGGUUCUAUAACAAUGAACAUUCAAACUAUUUUGAAUAAAACGAAACAGUGAUUCAACUAAUUUUCAGAAUAAGAUAAGCCAUGGCGAAAAUAAGACACUGAUUCAAAUUAGCAGUUAACUAUUUCACAUACAACAAACUCAAAUCAUUUUGAUUCGUAACAAACAAGAUAAAGGAGAAAGAGUAACCAAAAUGUACCUCUUUUGGGGCAGCAAACAAGAGCUUCAACGUCAAGAAUUUCAACUGCGAACUCGAACUUCAACUCGAAGAAGAAACGAAAACAGAGAACAAAAGAUUUUCGGAUUGUUCUUGGACCCUUUUUUGAUGAUUUCCUAAUGGUUGUUCCCCGAUUUUUUUUUCUCGAUCGUUGUCCCUUCCAAAGGAGAAACAAAGUUCUCCUCUUUAUAGCCGAUUUGGGGCCUCUACUACGUUCAAAAAAUAAAUGUUGGAACCUUACACCCAUCAGAUUAAAGGGACAAUUAGCCCAAAAAUCCGAUGGUUCUUCAUGCCUUUCACCUUUUCAGGCGUAGCAGCGAUGGAGGGGCUUUUGAGGUCUACCAUGGUUCAGAAAAGACGAUGGAAGAGACGUAAAGUUGACAUGAGAAGGAUAUGAUUGAUGGACGGCGUGGGGAGAUAUAUUGAUGACCACCGGAAAUUGCCAUUUUCCGGUGGUUUGUAGGUGGAAACGAUGGCAGAGGAGAGAGAUCGAUGGGAGAGGAGAGGAAAAGAGUUUGAUGGGAAGAGAAACGUAUGGGGAAGAAGGAAAACGUUUCUGGGAAAGGGAAGAAG